rnacentral:sRNA from 1 species
CAAAAAAAUUAAGUUCGCCGCUGGUCGUUUUGUUUCAGCAGCUGCUCCUCCUCCUGCUUGUCGUGUGUGUGAAGUGAACAUCCAUGUGUUUGUAAUCUGUUUUUAAAUCGAGGGAUGUCUCAUGUGUUUAGCCUGUACUCCCAUUUAAUUUAGCGACGAUAAGCAUCGAUGCCCGCCUCUCCUAUCUGGAAUAUACUCCCUCCGUCCC